AAAGGAUAUGAAUUUGAAAAAUAUACAACAGUUCCAAUAAGCUUCCUAGCGAAAAAGAGUUAUUCAUUCGAUCGUGAUAAAUAUGAAACUAAUGAAUUUAUUCCUUGUAGUCGCUUGCAUUGUUGCUAGUGCUAUGGCUUUUCCCUCAAAUAAUAAUGCUCAUGGCGUUAUUAAUUCGGGAAUCUUUAGUCAAGUACAUGUAGGAAAAUAAUAAAAAUUAUUACCUUCACAUUUGUGACACUAAUAAAGAUUAAAAUAUAUUUCAUCCAA